rnacentral:rRNA from 1 species
UACGUAGGGGGCAAGCGUUGUCCGGAAUCAUUGGGCGUAAAGAGCGUGUAGGCGGCCAGGUAGGUCCGGUGUGAAAACUCGAGGCUUAACCUCGAGAUGUCAUCGGAAACCAUCUGGCUAGAGUCCGGAAGAGGAAAGUGGAAUUCCUGGUGUAGCGGUGAAAUGCGCAGAUAUCAGGAAGAACACCAAUGGCGAAAGCAGCUUUCUGGGACGGUACUGACGCUGAGACGCGAAAGCGUGGGGAGCGAACAGG